rnacentral:rRNA from 1 species
UAAUACCUACGGGACGCAGCAGUGGGGAAUAUUGGACAAUGGGGGGAACCCUGAUCCAGCGACGCCGCGUGAGUGAAGAAGUAUUUCGGUAUGUAAAGCUCUAUCAGCAGGGAAGAAAAUGACGGUACCUGACUAAGAAGCCCUGGCUAACUACGUGCCAGCAGCCGCGGUAAUACGUAGGGGGCAAGCGUUAUCCGGAUUUACUGGGUGUAAAGGGAGCGUAGACGGCUGUGCAAGUCUGGAGUGAAAGGCGGGGGCCCAACCCCCGGACUGCUCUGGAAACUGUAUGGCUGGAGUGCAGGAGG